CAUGCAAGUCGAGGGGUAGAAGGCUUCGGCCUUUGAGACCGGCGCACGGGUGCGUAACGCGUAUGCAAUCUGCCUUACACUAAGGGAUAGCCCAGAGAAAUUUGGAUUAAUACCUUAUAGUAUAUUUAUGUGGCAUCACAUGAUUAUUAAAGAUUUAUUGGUGUAAGAUGAGCAUGCGUCCCAUUAGCUAGUUGGUAUGGUAACGGCAUGCCAAGGCUAUGAUGGGUAGGGGUCCUGAGAGGGAGAUCCCCCACACUGGUACUGAGACACGGACCAGACUCCUACGGGAGGCAGCAGUGAGGAAUAUUGGUCAAUGGGCGCAAGCCUGAACCAGCCAUGCCGCGUGCAGGAUGAAGCAUCUAUGGUGUGUAAACUGCUUUUGUACGGGAAGAAACAACUCUUCGUGAAGAGUCUUGACGGUACCGUAAGAAUAAGGAUCGGCUAACUCCGUGCCAGCAGCCGCGGUAAUACGGAGGAUCCAAGCGUUAUCCGGAAUCAUUGGGUUUAAAGGGUCCGUAGGCGGUUUUGUAAGUCAGUGGUGAAAUCCGGCAGCUUAACUGUCGAACUGCCAUUGAUACUGCAGGACUUGAAUUACUGUGAAGUAACUAGAAUAUGUAGUGUAGCGGUGAAAUGCUUAGAUAUUACAGGAAAUACCAAUUGC
rnacentral:rRNA from 1 species